rnacentral:rRNA from 2 species
CAGCAGCCGCGGUAAUACCAGCUCUCCGAGUGGUGUGGACGUUUAUUGGGCCUAAAGCAUCCGUAGCUGGCUGAACAAGUCCCCUGUUAAACCCACCGAUUUAAUCGUUGGUCUGCGGGGGAUACUGCUCGGCUAGGGGACGAGAGAGGCAGACGGUAUUCCCGGGGUAGGGGUGAAAUCCUAUAAUCCCGAGAAGACCACCAGUGGCGAAGGCUGUCUGCUAGAACGCGCCCGACGGUGAGGGAUGAAAGCUGGGGGAGCGAACCGGAUUAGAUACCCGGGUAGUCCCAGCUGUAAACGAUGCAGACUAGGUGUUUGGACGGCCACGUGCCGUUCUAGUGCCGCAGGGAAGCUGUUAAGUCUGCCGCCUGGGGAGUACGAUCGCAAGAUUGAAACUUAAAGGAAUUGGCGGGGGAGCACCACAAGGGGUGAAGCUUGCGGUUUAAUUGGAGUCAACGCCGGAAAUCUCACCGGGAGCGACAGCAGGGUGAAAGCCAGAUUAAAGGUCUUGCUAGACGAGCUGAGAGGAGGUGCAUGGCC